GUGUGUCGAUGCCUCAGCUGCUCCAGCUCACAGCUUGGUGGUUUAAAUUAAUACUCCAGACGUGGACUGGAACACCUGAGGUACAGGCACAC
ensembl:miRNA